rnacentral:lncRNA from 1 species
AGACAGCCAUGCUCCUAUUUGUACCAUGCUGCAUGUUCUCGACUAGCUGACCCACACUCUUUGGGACAAUACCUCUAUCCUGCCUCCACCCUGAACCUCCAUCUUUCCCUUAGGAUUCCAGAUGUUUGCUACUGCGCCCCCACCCUCAAAUAUGAAUUCUAGGCAUUGGACUCAUCAAGUAGGAAUAUUGCCAUGGGUUUCUUAACCCAGUUCGUCACUGUAACUGGGGGUGGGGGUGGCUUGUGGCUUCUCUUGCAGUUGAUCUGUAACGACUAUGGACAAUUGCUUGUGACUCCUCUGUUCCUGCUUCCAGAUUUGCCUCAUUCUUGAGAUCUUCCAGCCUCUGCCACUUGAGCAUCUCCUCCUCCCCGUGUAGCACCAUGAUCGGCACUGAAGCAGAAGCCGUGGAGGAACUCUGUCUGCUGGCUUGCUCCUCAUGGCUGGCUCAGCUUGAUUUCUUACACAACCCUGGACAACCAGCCUAGGAGUGACACUGCCCACAGUGGACUGGGCUCUCCCACACCAAUUAUUUAUCAACAGAAAGUCUCACAGACUUGCCAACCAAUAAUCUGAUGGAAACAUUUCUCAAUUGAAGUUCUUUCUUGAUGAAUCUGGAUUGUGUCAAAUUGGGAAAAAAAAUCUGAACAGAACAGGACAGUUACUAUUUUUUUUUCUUAAAUAUCAUUGGGACCAGAUAAUGUUUUCUAUAACAACUAUCUUCUUAGAAAGCUGUUGAGAUUAUUCUCUGUGACCUGAUGAGGGUCCUAUGAUCACAAGAAAUGUGGCACAUUUAUUAAUUUUGUACAUUAAACCUGUCUAAUAAAUGACAUUAUUAAAUAUCUUCUUUAUCUAUGAUAAACAAAUAUAUUUGCCACCAUCUUUCCAUGUGAGAGAUGUAGUCUCAAAGCAAAGGUUGGGUUAGGGAUGUUCAUUCACAUGUGAGUCUAUUAUUCCAGCUGUCUCAAAAUAGCAGUCAGGAGAGGGGAAGGGGUGUGACUAAGCAAGGAUGACCAGAAAUAAAGUCAGCAUAAACGUUAUGUGAGAAAGAGGCUUACAUGUGACUACUGGCUCACAGUAAUGAUCAGAGGAACAUACACAGGAAUCCUAACACAGUGUCCAGGCAAGUAAUUGUUUCUUUUCCAAAUAUACUGCCAAAAAUCUCUUAACUGCUGAGGUUCCCAAACAGCUUUUAAGGGAAACAUACUUACUAGACACUACUUCAGAUGAGCAGUACAGACAAGGCUGAAACUUCCAGAAGGCAAAUCUGGGGCACCAGGGUCCCCCACUAUUCCCACCUAUCCUGUGUGAUAUCCGUGCCUCCUCUUCAGAAUGGAAGUAUUUAUCAUGAUUUGCCUUUCCCUGCCUACGAUUGUCUUCUCGGCCGGUGCAUGGGGCACACCAAUAGCCUUUAGAUCCUAGGUUGCCGUUCUUUUUCUUUUAAGAAUUGAAAAAAAAAGUUAUUUUUUCAUACAGUAGAGCCUGAUCAUGCUUUCCCCUCCUGAGUCUCCUCCCAGACCCCACCCCUUCUCACCCACCCAGCUCCAUGUCUCCAUUCUAUUUCUGUUUAGAAAACAGGCCAAU